UCCUAGUGGCGGACGGGUGAGUAACGCGUGGGUAACCUGCCUCACACUGGGGAAUAACAGUCAGAAAUGACUGCUAAUACCGCAUAAGCGCACAGGAUUGCAUGAUCCAGUGUGAAAAACUCCGGUGGUGUGAGAUGGACCCGCGUUGGAUUAGCCAGUUGGCAGGGUAACGGCCUACCAAAGCGACGAUCCAUAGCCGGCCUGAGAGGGUGGACGGCCACAUUGGGACUGAGACACGGCCCAGACUCCUACGGGAGGCAGCAGUGGGGAAUAUUGCACAAUGGGGGAAACCCUGAUGCAGCGACGCCGCGUGAAGGAAGAAGUAUCUCGGUAUGUAAACUUCUAUCAGCAGGGAAGAAAAUGACGGUACCUGACUAAGAAGCCCCGGCUAACUACGUGCCAGCAGCCGCGGUAAUACGUAGGGGGCAAGCGUUAUCCGGAUUUACUGGGUGUAAAGGGAGCGUAGACGGAGCAGCAAGUCUGAUGUGAAAGGCGGGGGCUCAACCCCCGGACUGCAUUGGAAACUGUUGAUCUUGAGUACCGGAGAGGUAAGCGGAAUUCCUAGUGUAGCGGUGAAAUGCGUAGAUAUUAGGAGGAACACCAGUGGCGAAGGCGGCUUACUGGACGGUAACUGACGUUGAGGCUC
rnacentral:rRNA from 1 species